rnacentral:rRNA from 1 species
AGUGUAGGUGGCUCAUUAAGUCACAUGUGAAAUCCCCGGGCUUAACCUGGGAACUGCAUGUGAUACUGGUGGUGCUAGAAUAUGUGAGAGGGAAGUAGAAUUCCAGGUGUAGCGGUGAAAUGCGUAGAGGUCUGGAGGAAUACCGAUGGCGAAGGCAGCUUCCUGGCAUAAUAUUGACACUGAGAUUCGAAAGCGUGGGUAGCAAACA